rnacentral:rRNA from 1 species
GUGAAAGAGUUCCUGAAACCGUGCGCCUACAAUCCGUCGGAGCCUCCUUGUGGGGUGACGGCGUGCCUAUCGAAAAAUGAGUCUGCGAGUCAGUGGUGCGUGGCGAGGCUAACCCGUGGUGGGGGAGCCGUAGCGAAGGCGAGUCUCAAAAGGCGUUUUGCGUCGCGCGCCCUGGACCCGAAGCGGGAUGAUCUAGCCCUGGGCAGGUUGAAGCGCGGGUAAGACCGCGUGGAGGACCGAACCCACCUGGGUUGAAAACCGGGGGGAUGACUUGGGGCUAGGGGUGAAAGGCCAAUCAAAUUCCGUGAUAGCUGGUUCUCUCCGAAAUGCAUUUGGGUGCAGCGUCGGGUCAUUACGUCCCGGGGGUAGAGCUACUGGAUGCUUGCGGGCCCGUAUCGGGUACCAACAGCAACCAAACUCCGAAUACCGGUGACGCGUAUCCCGGCAGUGAGUCGGCGGGGGAUAAGCUUCGUCGUCGAAAGGGAAACAGCCCAGACCGUCGUCUAAGGUCCCGAAGCGUGUGCUAAGUGGGAAAGGAUGUGGAGUCGCAUAGACAGCCAGGAGGUUGGCUCAGAAGCAGCCAUCCUUUAAAGAGUGCGUAACAGCUCACUGGUCUAGUGGUUCCGCGCCGACAAUGUAGCGGGGCUCAAGCACACCACCGAAGACGCGGCAGUAUUUUGUACUGGGUAGGAGAGCGUCCCAUGAGGGGCGAAGCGGCCGUGUGAACGCGCCGUGGACUUCAUGGGAGUGAGAAUGCAGACAUGAGUAGCGAGAGACGGGUGAAGAUCCCGUCCGCUGGAUGACCAAGGGUUCCAGGGCCACGUUCAUCGUCCCUGGGUGAGUCGGGUCCUAAGGCGAGGCCGACAGGCGUAGUCGAAUGGAUGAACGGGUCGAUAUUCCCGUACCGGCUUUCAGCCGCCAAAACCGAGGCUUGGAGUACUAACCUCCGGGUCCGGGCUUACUGCUCCUUCGGGGGCGGGAUGCCCUGGCCUGUUGGGACCGAUCCUUGUAGUAGGUCAGCGCAGGAGUGACGCAGAAGGGUAGCCGGCCGCGGAGGUGGUCUUCCGUGGUCAAGCACGCAGGGCGUGGGACAGGCAAAUCCGUCCCGCAUGGGUCCGAGGUGCGAUGAUGGGGGCCUUAUGGCCCGAUAUCCGGUGAUCCCGGCUGCCGAGAAAAGCUUCGGCGUCAGGCUCAAAGCCGCCCGUACCCCAAACCGACACUGGUGGUCAGGUAGAGAAUACCAAAGCGAUCGAGCGAAUCCUGGUCAAGGAACUCGGCAAAUCACUCCCGUUCCUUCGGUUUAAGGGAGACCCCCGAUGGUGAACACACUUGCUGUGGGAGCUUUUGGGGGUGGCACAGACCAGGGGGUAGCGACUGUUUACCAAAAACACAGGUGCAUGCGAAGGCGCAAGCCGCUGUAUAUGCACUGACGCCUGCCCGGUGCCGGAAGGUUAAGAGGAUCCGUCAGCCUUCGGGUGAAGCGGUGAAUUCAAGCCCCGGUAAACGGCGGUGGUAACUAUAACCAUCCUAAGGUAGCGAAAUUCCUUGUCGGGUAAGUUCCGACCUGCACGAAUGGCGUAACGAUCUCCACACUGUCUCGGCCAGAGACUCGGUGAAAUUGCAGUCGCGGUGAAAAUUCCGUGUACCCGCAGAAAGACGGAAAGACCCUGUGCACCUUUACUAUAGCUUGACAUUGGAUUUUGGGCCUGCAUGUGUAGGAUAGGUGGGAGGCUGUGAACCCUGUACGCCAGUAUGGGGGGAGCCAUCCUUGAAAUACCACCCUUGCAUGUUUAAGAUCCUAACUUCUUCCGGUUAUCCCGGAGAAAGACAGUGUCUGGCGGGUAGUUUGACUGGGGCGGUCGCCUCCUAAAGUGUAACGGAGGCAUGCAAAGGUUCCCUCAGCCUGAUCGGAAACCAGGCGCUGAGUGCAAACGCAUAAGGGAGCUUGACUGUAAGAGAGACAUCUCGAACAGGAACGAAAGUUGGCGUUAGUGAUCCGGUGGUCCCGAAUGGAAGGGCCAUCGCUCAUUGGAUAAAAGGUACGCCGGGGAUAACAGGCUGAUCGCAUCCAAGAGUUCACAUCGACGAUGCGGUUUGGCACCUCGAUGUCGGCUCAUCACAUCCUGGGGCUGAAGUAGGUCCCAAGGGUAUGGCUGUUCGCCAUUUAAAGUGGUACGCGAGCUGGGUUUAGAACGUCGUGAGACAGUUCGGUCCCUAUCUGCCGUGGGCGCUGGAGAACUGAGGGGGGCUGCUCCUAGUACGAGAGGACCGGAGUGGACGCAUCACUGGUGUUCGGGUUGUCAUGCCAAUGGCACUGCCCGGUAGCUAAAUGCGGAAGAGAUAAGUGCUGAAAGCAUCUAAGCACGAAACUUGCCCCGAGAUGAGUUCUCCCUGACUCCUUGAGAGUCCUGAAGGAACGUUGAAGACGACGACGUUGAUAGGCCGGGUGUGUAAGCGCAGCGAUGCGUUGAGCUAACCGGUACUAAUGAACCGUGAGGCUUAACCUU